rnacentral:rRNA from 1 species
GACGAGGGAUCCUAGCGUUGUUCGGAAUUAUUGGGCGUAAAGCGGGUGUAGGUGGAAUUAUAAGUCAGUGGUGAAAGCCUCGAGCUCAACUCGUGAAUUGCCAUUGAUACUGUUUUUCUUGAGUACGAUUGAGGUGAGUAGAAUAUGUCAUGUAGUGGUGAAAUACUUAGAUAUGACAUAGAAUACCGAUUGCGAAGGCAGCUCACUAAAUCGUAACUGACGCUGAGGCACGAAAGCGUGGGGAUCAAACAGGAUUAGAUACCCACGUAGUCC